UACGUAGGGGGCUAGCGUUGUCCGGAAUCAUUGGGCGUAAAGAGCGUGUAGGCGGCCCGGUAAAUCCGCUGUGAAAGUCGGGGGCUCAACCCUCGAAUGCCGGUGGAUACUGUCGGGCUAGAGUGCGGAAGAGGCGAGUGGAAUUCCUGGUGUAGCGGUGAAAUGCGCAGAUAUCAGGAGGAACACCAAUUGCGAAGGCAGCUCGCUGGGACGUAACUGACGCUGAGGUGCGAAAGCGUGGGGAGCAAACAGG
rnacentral:rRNA from 1 species